ACAUUGAAUAUCAUUAGCCAUGGGAGUGGGGCUACCAUAAAUCUAGAAGUCCUGAACAACAACAACACAAAAACACUUUUCCAGUUGGAAUUAUGUUUUUACUGGAUUUGUUCAUAUAUUUUCAAUCUUCGUUUUUACAACAAAUGUAGUAAGCAUUAAAACAAGUAUGGCCAGAAGAUAAUAAAUGAAUUUUACCUGCCUGUUUUAUUUGUAAUGAUAAUGAAUCUAAAUUAAUUACAAUGUAGAAACGAACUUGACUUUACCGCUCCUUUCAGUUAGAAUGAUAUCAUUUAAAAUUGCUGUUUGUUUCUCAGAAGAGAACAAGACCUUGAAGAAACAUCGUGUUGAUGAUCGUAACUACUAUUUACUGCCGGCUGAGGCCUGGUCCAAAUUAGUCGCUUCGUAUGGGACUGCGGUAGGACAGGACGCUAUUUCUCACAAGGUCAUUGAGCAGGGAAGGUUUUACAAACAGUGUACAAGGAGAUGGAACUUCUCAUGAUCCGUAUCAAGUUGAAGCUUUGUGAACAUUCUAAAUCCAACACAUUUGUGAACAAGCUCUUCCAUCAAACUGAUACCAUAGAUAAUCUGGAGAAAGAAAUGAGACGCACGUUCAACAUCCCUGCCGAGAAAGAAGUUCGACUCUGGAAAAAUGUUGACUAC